UCUUCUCACCCUCCUCCACGCAACCGCCUCGCCGGACAACACCUCCAACGUCAUCGGCGCAACCAAUUCCUCCUCCACCGGAGCGCGUGGCCUCCUAUCCUCCCUCGGCCUCUCCUCGCUCCGCCUCGACGUCUCCGACCCCAAUUUCACCUCGUCCCAAUUCUAAUCUCCCCUUCAGCGGUGGAGGGGGGGCAUGGAAAGGAAGAGUAGGCCACCGGAGACUUGAAUCAAAUGGGAACUGGUUAUUUACUGCAGUCCAGCUCCGGUGCCAUCCCGGCAAGCCACCACAGUCAGAUUCCGGCGAAUUUUCAGAUGCUGUCUAAUUCCAAGAUCGGUGGCUGGUCAAGAUCAAAGAGGACGAUCCGGAGAUCUAUAGGAAUAGGUAUUCAGACUGAGCAAAGUAGGCCAGGUCAUCGAUGGUAAUGACUUGUCUACAGCUAGUGCAGUUCUCGGGGUACUGGGUUAAGAAAGCCAAUGUAGCUUUGAAUAAGGGAACAAAUGAAAUUGAAGGCAUCAUCAUGUCUCCCGCACAACUGGGGGCCACAUUCAAGAGUUGCAAAUGUCUGAAAUAUAUGAACUUAGAAAGCUGCUCAUAACAGUAUAUGUGUAUAUGCUCGAACUUAAGAACACAAACAUACCUGGAGCUGCAGCCAUUGUGGAAGAUGACAAAGUUGGUCUUCCUGAUUUUAUGCACUUGGUUAAUUCUCCUCUGAGCUAUCCUUGAUGAGAGUUCUCUAAUGGGCAGAGCAAUGUAUUCUCAGGUGCAGGUAAUGAUAGCUAGAGCAGGCCAAGUGGUUCCUUAUAUAGGCCAACGAGUCUAGGUACCUUACCAUAAAGGUUUCCUAUACCGAUUAGCAAAAGGAACAACAUUCCUGAUUCAUGUACAUAACCUAAUGCAGUGAGGUAUGAUCAAUCAUGUAAGUUUGCUCAAUGAACUGGGAAUCCUAAUUGAAAUAUCAAUGACUAGUCUGAUUGCUUGUUCUACAUCAAGAGUAGCAAGUUGCUUGUUCUUUAAGUUGACAUUCAUAAGUCCAAAUAUUCUUACAAGAUGAGCACUUCAGCUGUGUGCUGCUGGAGCUCACUUUUGUC